UCCCUGGUGGUCUAGUGGUUAGGAUCCAGCCCUUUCACUGCUGUGGCCCAGGUUCAGUCCCUGGUCGGGGAG